UGAGGAAUAUUGGACAAUGGGGGCAACCCUGAUCCAGCAAUGCCGCGUGUGUGAAGAAGGCCUUCGGGUUGUAAAGCACUUUUAUCGGGAACGAAACAUUGUCGGCCAAUACCCGGCAAGACUGACGGUACCCGAGGAAUAAGCACCGGCUAACUCCGUGCCAGCAGCCGCGGUAAUACGGAGGGUGCAAGCGUUAAUCGGAAUUACUGGGCGUAAAGCGUGCGCAGGCGGUUUGUUAAGUCUGCUGUGGAAUCCCCGAGCUCAACUUGGGAAUUGCAGUGGAUACUGGCAAGCUGGAGUACGGUAGAGNAAGGUGGAAUUCCCGGUGUAGCAGUGAAAUGCGUAGAGAUCGGGAGGAACACCAGUGGCGAAGGCGGCCUUCUGGACCAGUACUGACGCUCAUGCACGAAAGCGUGGGGAGCAAACA
rnacentral:rRNA from 1 species